UACAGAGGUCCCAAGCGUUGUUCGGAUUCACUGGGCGUAAAGGGCGCGUAGGUGGUCAGGUAAGUUUGGUGUGAAAGCUCGGAGCUUAACUCCGAAAAGUCAUUGAAUACUAUCUGGCUGGAGGGUCGGAGGGGAGACUGGAAUUCUCGGUGUAGCAGUGAAAUGCGUAGAUAUCGAGAGGAACACCGGUGGCGAAGGCGAGUCUCUGGACGACACCUGACGCUGAGGCACGAAAGCUAGGGGAGCAAACAGG
rnacentral:rRNA from 1 species